AGUUAUUGCUGGUGGUGUUAUUGGUGGUGUUGUUGCUCUUCUUCUCGGCUUCAUCAUAUACCGUGUUGAACGUUGCAAGAGAGGCGAACAAAGUUUUCCAUGCCGGAGCAACAACAACUCUCGACAUGAACAAGGGAGAAAUGAUCGAGAACAAAAUGGAAAUGGCGACCCUGGAGUUGAACCUGAAGAAAUGCCUUUACAGGACGUGUAACAACCAAACCAAAGGGUGGAUGAAUCCUCCCCCCUCAGCUGAAGUCUUUUCAACCACUUGCAUGUGUUGGUAUGAAAACUAGUACAUGUAGAGAACUAUGGACCAUGAUAAAAAUAACAAAAACAACUGUAUGCCUUAAACCCCAAAAAGAUUUAAUAAUAAGGAUGAACUGAUGAUGUAAGUUAAAAAAGAACAUCCUAUGAACACAGCUGGUGCUGUAGUUUAGUGUCUCUCACUCAGGUUUGAUAUCUGAUUUGUCUUGAAAAGUAUUUUUUAAUUCAUGCAAAAGUUUGUGCCAACCAAAGUUUUUUAAUUUAAUUUGUGUCAGUGAAACUUAUUUUAACGCUCACACUCUUCUUACAGGAAUAACCAGAUGUUUUUGUAUUUUAUUAUGAUUUUGCACACGUGUUGCCUAGUUCUUCAAUUUAUGAAUCAGCAAUGAAUUCACUAGUUCACCUUUGCUUCCAUGUCCAGACCUCAGUAGUGAUGAAUAUUUACUCAUUAAAACUCCCACAUUCACAUAGGAACAAAUGACCUGAAUAUUUUUAUGUACAUCAUCACACCAUUUUGAUACAAUGUUUUUAAAAAGCACCCUUGUAGUUGCAUUAUGUAAGAUUGUUAUUAAAAUAUGUUCUCAGGAGUUAUUAACAUAAAAAAGUAGAGAAAAUUAGAAAUGUAUCAAUUACUAUUGACAAUAGGGCCAUAGACACAACAUAUAGGAUAGUAACUUUAUCUUAUAACUCAGCUGUAGUGACUUUUUUCUUACAGGUUCUUACCUGAGGGAAGGUAGAGAAGUUUAGUAGAUGAACAUGUAUUAUGGUCUGGCAAUCAUAAAAACUGUGUUCAUAAUUAUCUUUGUCACAUCAAUGAUGAGCCACAGAGGGAGAAAUAUAAACCAUACAAAUACAAACUAUAAGAUCAGAGCAUAAAUAAAUGUCUCCUACAUUAACACUCAGUGGAGGCUUAGAGCUUCUUAAACCAGGUAAAUGAAUCACCUGUUUAUUUUAGUCAGGUCUGUGGAAGCAGGGAAAACAUGUAAAGCAUUGGAUCUUAAAGUCCAAGGCUGAGAAACGAUGAUUUAUGUGAAGUAAAUCAAACUGACAGAACCACUUUAUCUAACUUUGGUCCAGAGUUCUGUUCACAUUGAGAUGAGUCCAUUUGCACUAAUAUUUAUACUUUCAAACCUAAGAGCCUUUUUUAGAUUCAUCAGCUUGAACUGAGUCUGGCUUAAUAUGGCUGUUUAAUGUAGGAAUAAAUGGCUGCUGCAAAGUUAAAGACU